UUUUUUUUUUUUUUUUUUUUUACAUGCACAGUGUGUUACCUGGAUACUUAUCAUCAGCCAUUAAAGCCAUCUUGCUUUUAUUUAUUUGUUUAAUUAAUAUUGAUUGAUUUGUUUUGAGGCAGGGUUUCUCUGUGUUGCCCUGGCUAUCCUAGAACUAGCUCUGUAGACCAGGCUGGCCUCGAACUCACAGAGAUCCUCCUGUUUCUCCCUCCCAAGUGCUGGGAUUAAAGGCAUCCAUCACCACCACCUGGCCAUCUUGCCUUUUUAUUCUAUUGGUUAUGAAGGCUAGAGGUUAAUCUCAGAUGUCAGUCUUCAGGUGCAUAAAUCACACUGGACUGGGAACAGAACAGAAACAGUGUGUAGUUACCAUAGGACAUUUGGGAGUUAGUAAAGAGCGUGAAAUAGCCAUAGCAGCUUUGCAUUGUAUAUGCAUGUAUUUAUGUAUAGAGAAUAAAAUUGCAAUCAUGAUGAAUGAAUUAUUUCAUAACUCCAAAUUUAAUUUAGACAAGCAGUUUCCCAUCCACUAACUACAUUCCUCUAAAAUGAGACCAGUGGCCCCUGUCAUUUUCUAUUGCUGUAUUAUACAUUAUUUAAUUAUUUGCUGAUUGUAAGUAUGUAAUAUACAUACUUUAUGUCAGCCACUGUGUUCAUCUCUGGCUAUUUCCUUUUAUUAAAUUUCCAGAAAUGGAUUAAUUCUUACAGAGUAUAACAUUUUAGAGCUUUUUGUAUAUUUUCCUAAUUGCCCUUAGAAAAUGAAACUGGUUGGAUGCACUCCCACAAACUUGUAUGAGUGACUACUUAGCUGACUUAAUUUUUAAAAAGAUUUGCCGAUUUUAUAUGUAUGUUUGUUUGCCUGAGUAUGUAUGUGCACCCCUUGCAUGCAACGUCUAUGUAGGUCCGAAGGUGUUGAAUCCCUGCAACUGUAAUUAUAGGCAGUUGUGAGUCGCCAUGUGGGUGUUGAUGUCCCAGGGUGACUGUUGCUGUGAUUAAACACCAUAACCAAAAGUAAGUUGGUGGUAGUGGUGGGAGAAGGUCCAUUUCACUCACAGUUCCAUGUGAUAGCUCAUCAAAAGCAGUGAAGAACUCCAGCAGGGCAGGAACCUGCAGGCUGGAGCUAGUGCAGAUGCCAGGGAGGAAUGCUCCUUUGUAGCUACACUGCUUACUGGCUUGCUACACAGGGCUUGUUCAGCCUGCUUUUUUAUGGAACCUAGGACUUCCAACCCUGAGGUGGCCCCACCUACAACGUGCUGGGCCCUCCCACAUCAAUCACUAAUUAAUAAAAUGCCCUACAGGCUUGCCUACAAUCUGAUCUUAUGAAGCCAUUUUCUUGAUUUGAAGCUCUCUCCUCAGAUGACUUUAGCUUGUGUUAAGUUGACAUAAAACUAGCCAGCACAAUGGACACUCUUGUCAACUUGACACUCAAACAUCACUUUUCAGUUAGAGCUUUUUCUUUCUCAUUUAUUCCCCAAGAUGGCAUGUUAAUAAUAAUAUCAUAAUGUAAAAUAUAACGUUAAAAGUCUCAUUGUCUUUACAAAUUCAAACAUAUUAAAGGUUCAGUCUCUUUAAAAUAUUCAGUCUUUUAAAAAUUCAUAAUAUGUUUUUAAAAGUUCAGUCUCUCAACCAAGGUCUCCUGUAAAAAUGAAAAUUAAAUACUUUCCUUCUACAAGAGGGAAGAACCAGGGCACAGUCACAAUCUGAACAAAGCAAAACCAACUUCAAAAGUGUAAAUAAAUCAAUGUCCAAUGCUGGGAUUCACUCACAGUCUUCUGGGUUUCUCCAGAGGCUUAAACCACUUCUCUGGCUCCAUCUUCUACAGCAUACACAACUUGUCCUCCAGGCUUUGGCAGCCUCCACUCCACUGCUGUUGCUGUCCUUGGCGGCCAUACAAGAUGACCAUGACAUCCCAUGGACUGGCGUCUCCAAAAUGCUGGGGUCUCUGCUGUAAUUGGACUGUGAUUUUCUUCAGGGCUCUCUUCCUCAUGCCAAGCCUCAUCUUGUCUCCACGAUCCCUUCGUAGGACUUCAACUGCUACUAAGGCUGUACCUUUUCUAAUGGCCUGUCCUGGCUUCUCAGAGUGCCAAGCCCCACUUGCUUGCUAUGACCCUUUCAUGCCUUCAAAACUAGCACCAACUGGAUGGUCUUACACAUUACCAAGUCUUGGGCACUUCUGAAACACAGCUUCUGUGUGCCAACUCUGGGGAAACACUUUGCAGAUUUUCCUUCCAUGUCUCUUAAAAACAAACAAACAAACAACAAAACUACCACUGAUUUCUUCGCUCCAGCUGACCAGCAUCAACUGUCCCAGCAAAGGUUUAAUUUUAGUGGCUCUCGUCCUUUGUUAAUCACAGCUGACUCUUUAGCCCCAGACAACCAGAACCACAGAUUAUCAGCUCAGAGUAGCAAAUAGCCCUGAUAAGAGUCUUUGGGUGGCUUUUAAACUUCCCUCUGGAGCUUCCCAGGACUCCAUUGUCUGCAUUGCUCUGAAUAUUCUUUUUUUUUCCCCAGAUUUAUUUAUUUUAUGUAUAUGAGUACACUGUUGCUCUGUUCAGACACACCAGAAGAGGGCAUCAGAUCCCAUCACAGAUGAUUGUAAGCCACCAUGUGGUUGCUGGGAAUUGAACUCAGGGCCUCUGGAAGAGCAGUCAGUGCUCUUAAUCACUGAGCCAUCUCUCCAGCCCCUGCUCUGAAUAAUCUUAUCUUUAACGUUCCCUCAGAAUAGCUCACUAAGCUUUGAACACUCACUGGCUUUUCUAGCCUAAUGUUCCAAUAAAUAUUCCAAUAAACAAUCCUCCAAUAAACAACCUAGUCAGAUUUGUCACAGCAAUAUCCCAUGAUCCAGGUACCAAUUUGUCUUAGUUACAGUUACUGUUGCUAUGGUAAAACCAUGACCAAAAGCAAGCUGGGGAGGAAAGGGUUGAUUUGGCUGUGUUCUGCUGCCUCAGCUGUGUCCUUAGCCCCAUGGAAAAUGUGAAUAGAGUCUAACAGUCUUUCCUGAGAUGGCUGGCGCUGUGGUGAGGGAAGCAGACACAUCUUCCUGUGGUGAUUACAGGCAAUGGGAGAAGUAAGAGGGGUUACUGUUUAUUCUCAGGCAGUUUGGGCAAGCACUGGCUUCAGUUUUAAAAACAAGAGAAAGCAGCUGGUUGGAAUGAUGUGGAGGCCAUCCCUCCACAACCAGUUUCAGCUGUGGAUUGACUUUUUUUCUUUUUCUUUUUUUUUUUUUUGGCUCUUCAGCAGGUGGUGCUGCAGUGCCAUAAGACAGUUCAUCUCUAGGAAGCUGGCUGAGGCCUGGAUCAGGUUGAUCCGAACUGCACAGCACCAACAGGCUGGGUUGAGUGAAAAGGCAUUGCAUUCGGAAAUGUCAGUUCAGAUGUCCCCUUCUCAGCUUGCCUAGCCUGCAGUUCUCUGCCUGGUUUGGGUUUCUAAGCAUAGAGGCACAAAACUCCUCCCGAGGUAGAAUCUUUAUGUUUCUGUCCUGGUUCCAGUUCAGGAAGUGUUUAUAUAUAUUUUUAGUUUCACCACAACAUUUUGGGUUUUCUCUUUGAUGUGUCCCGUCUGGUCGCUGUGUUUGGAGUAGAGAGCCCAUCAAAGAGGAUUUCUUGUGCUGUCUUAACAGGAAGCCAUGGGCUGAGAGUGUAAAGGAAACAAAGUUAGGUACUUGGUUAUAUACAGAACUAAAACGUAACCACAAGAAAGCUGCUUCUGUAUGAGUCCAGUGGCCCUCAGCACACGGUUACAGGAACUCCUUCUGAGGCUUGCAGGCCCCCGAAGAUAAGGACGAUUAAGUAGGUGGGGUUCAUUAGCAUGCUCAAGUUGUCUAGAAAGAUUGUACUUACUCUUUACCCUUUUGAAG
rnacentral:lncRNA from 1 species